UGUCCCUCCAUCCACAAGUUAAGUCAUCAGUGAGGUUUGUUUUGGUGAGAUAAACAGUCGCAACUCGCGAUCUAAACAAAUAAAAAAAAAACAAUGGCAUCGCUUGUUAUUACUCUAGAAGAAGGUCAAAUUAGAGGCAAGAAAGAUGAAGAUUAUUUGGGUAAAACCUAUUAUAGUUUUUUGGGUGUUCCCUACGCUAAAGCUCCUAUUGGAGAAUUGAGGUUUAAGGCCCCUGUGGCGGUAGAAUCCUGGAAUGGCAUUUUGGACGCCACAAAAGAAGGACCAGCAUGUCCCUCACGUCAUAUGAUAUUUACCAAUUAUAUGGGGUGUGAAGAUAAUUGCCUAAACCUAAAUGUAUUCACACCACAAUUACCUAACGAUAACAAUUCUGGAUCACUUAAACCAGUCAUGGUUUGGAUUCAUGGGGGUGGUUUUUUAAUGGGUUCAAAUCAGAAAGAAUUAUACGGGCCUGAUUAUCUGAUAACUGAAGAUACUGAAGAACAAGUACAAUUACUUGUUGCAAUUAAUUACCGAUUAGGGGUUUUUGGAUUUCUUAGCUUGGAAGACGCAUCCUUGGAAGUUCCCGGAAACGCCGGAUUGAAAGACAUGGUUCUUGCACUUAAAUGGGUUCAAAAAAAUAUCAAAAAUUUUGGUGGGGAUCCAAAUAAUGUUACCAUUUUUGGUGAAAGUGCGGGUGGAGCUGCUGUUCAUUUUUUGUAUCUUUCUCCUAAAACUAAAGGGCUGUUUCAUAAAGCGAUAGUUCAGAGUGGAAGUGCCUUAAACCUGUGGGCUCGGGGUUGUAGCAAUGCUUUGGAAAUUGCUAAAAAUCUCGGGUAUAAAGAAACAGACGAAAAAAAUAUAUUGGAAUAUUUGAAAUCUUUGCCAGCGAAAAAAAUUGUGGAUGCACAACUUAAAACUCCCGAUCCGUUUAAUGCUUCCACAAUACGACCAUAUGGACCAGUUGUUGAAAAAAAUGUUACAGAUAGUUCUUUUUUGACUGAAGAACCUAUUGAUAUUAUUAAAUCUGGCCGAUUUAAUCAUGUGCCACUAAUUACGGGGUACACAUCUAGAGAAGGAAUGCUUUUUGAACUUAUUAAAUUAGGGCAAAAAGAGGCGAGUGACCUUAAUUUGGAAAACGAAAUUUACUAUGAUUUAAAUCUAGAAAGGGGAUCCGAAAAAUCCCAAAAAAUUGCAGCCUCCAUUAAAGAAAAAUAUUUUGACAAUAAAGAACCAACAGAAAAUGACUUGGACAAAGUGUGGAAACUCAAGACAGAUGUUUCUUCACGGAAUUUACAGAAGUGUCUCCAGUCAAAAACAAAUCAGUAGUGAACCCAUUUAUUUCUACAAAAUAACUCUAAAUACCCAGUUAAAUAUUCUCAAGAAUACAGUUUGUUCCAAUCACCUUUACCUUUUAAUAUCUUUAUACUUUCUGGUAUCAAAAUUUGCUUUCAGUAAAACCUAUCCACGGCACAUGUCAUGGUGACGAUCUGUUUUACCUUUUUAACUCAAUUUGGAACGGAAAACUUGAACCAAAAAGCGAAGAAGAGAAACAUGUGCAGAAGUUUGUUAAGUUGUGGACAAAUUUU